UAAACCUCUUUUCUCAAGGAAGAAGAACUGACGGUACUUGAGGAAUCAGCAUCGGCUAACUCCGUGCCAGCAGCCGCGGUAAUACGGAGGAUGCAAGCGUUAUCCGGAAUUAUUGGGCGUAAAGCGUCCGCAGGUGGCACAUCAAGUCCGCUGUUAAAGACCAGGGCUUAACCCCGGGAAGGCAGUGGAAACUGAUGAGCUAGAGUACGGUAGGGGUAGAGGGAAUUCCCAGUGUAGCGGUGAAAUGCGUAGAGAUUGGGAAGAACACCAGUGGCGAAGGCGCUCUACUGGACCUGUACUGACACUCAGGGACGAAAGCUAGGGUAGCGAAAGGGAUUAGAUACCCCUGUAGUCCUAGCCGUAAACGAUGGAUACUAGGCGUUGCUUGUAUCGACCCGAGCAGUGCCGUAGCUAACGCGUUAAGUAUCCCGCCUGGGGAGUACGCACGCAAGUGUGAAACUCAAAGGAAUUGACGGGGGCCCGCACAAGCGGUGGAGUAUGUGGUUUAAUUCGAUGCAACGCGAAGAACCUUACCAGGACUUGACAUCCCGCGAAUCUUGAUGAAAGUUGAGAGUGCCUUAGGGAACGCGGAGACAGGUGGUGCAUGGCU
rnacentral:rRNA from 1 species